GAUGAACGCUGACAGAAUGCUUAACACAUGCAAGUCUACUUGAAUUUGGGUUUUUAACUUAGAUUUGGGUGGCGAACGGGUGAGUAACGCGUGAGCAACCUGCCUAUGACAGUGGGAUAGCCUCGGGAAACCGGGAUUAAUACCGCAUAAAAUCGUAGAAACACAUGUUUUAACGGUCAAAGAUUUAUCGGUCAUAGAUGGGCUCGCGUCUGAUUAGCUAGUUGGUGAGAUAACAGCCCACCAAGGCGACGAUCAGUAGCCGGUCUGAGAGGAUGAACGGCCACAUUGGAACUGAGACACGGUCCAAACUCCUACGGGAGGCAGCAGUGGGGAAUAUUGCACAAUGGGGGAAACCCUGAUGCAGCGACGCCGCGUGAACGAAGAAGGUAUUCGUAUCGUAAAGUUCUGUCCUAUGGGAAGAUAAUGACAGUACCAUAGAAGAAAGCUCCGGCUAAAUACGUGCCAGCAGCCGCGGUAAUACGUAUGUCACAAGCGUUAUCCGGAUUUAUUGGGCGUAAAGCGCGUCUAGGUGGUUAUGUAAGUCUGAUGUGAAAAUGCAGGGCUCAACUCUGUAUUGCGUUGGAAACUGUGUAACUAGAGUACUGGAGAGGUAAGCGGAACUACAAGUGUAGAGGUGAAAUUCGUAGAUAUUUGUAGGAAUGCCGAUGGGGAAGCCAGCUUACUGACAGAUACUGACGCUGAAGCGCGAAAGCGUGGUAGCAAACAGG
rnacentral:rRNA from 1 species